GUGUCAGCAGCCGCGGUAAUACGUAGGGGGCGAGCGUUGUCCGGAUUUAUUGGGCGUAAAACGCUUGUAGGUGGCUACGUCAAGUCGGACGUGAAAUCUCCCGGCUUAACUGGGAGGGGUCGCUCGAUACUGGCGAGCUCGAGGCAGGUAGGGGGAAGCGGAAUUCCCGGUGUAGUGGUGGAAUGCGUAGAUAUCGGGAGGAACACCAGUGGCGAAGGCGGCUUCCUGGACCUGUUCUGACACUGAGGAGCGAAAGCGUGGGGAGCGAUCCGGAUUAGAUACCCGGGUAGUCC
rnacentral:rRNA from 1 species